ACCCCGAGGAAAAGAAAUCAACCGAGAUUCCCCCAGUAGCGGCGAGCGAACGGGGAGCAGCCCAGAGUCUGAAUCAGCUUGUGUGUUAGUGGAACGGUCUGGAAAGUCCGACGGUACAGGGUGAUAGUCCCGUACACCAAAAUGCACAGGUUGUGAACUCGAAGAGUAGGGCGGGACACGUGGUAUCCUGUCUGAAUAUGGGGGGACCAUCCUCCAAGGCUAAAUACUCCUGACUGACCGAUAGUGAACCAGUACCGUGAGGGAAAGGCGAAAAGAACCCCGGCGAGGGGAGUGAAAAAGAACCUGAAACCGUGUACGUACAAGCAGUGGGAGCCUCUUUAUGGGGUGACUGCGUACCUUUUGUAUAAUGGGUCAGCGACUUAUAUUCUGUAGCAAGGUUAACCGUAUAGGGGAGCCGAAGGGAAACCGAGUCUUAACUGGGCGUUAAGUUGCAGGGUAUAGACCCGAAACCCGGUGAUCUAGCCAUGGGCAGGUUGAAGGUUGGGUAACACUAACUGGAGGACCGAACCGACUAAUGUUGAAAAAUUAGCGGAUGACUUGUGGCUGGGGGUGAAAGGCCAAUCAAACCGGGAGAUAGCUGGUUCUCCCCGAAAGCU
rnacentral:rRNA from 1 species